rnacentral:rRNA from 1 species
GAUGAACGCUGGCGGCGUGCCUAAUACAUGCAAGUCGAGCGAACAGACGAGGAGCUUGCUCCUCUGACGUUAGCGGCGGACGGGUGAGUAACACGUGGAUAACCUACCUAUAAGACUGGGAUAACUUCGGGAAACCGGGGCUAAUACCGGAUAAUAUAUUGAACCGCAUGGUUCAAUAGUGAAAGACGGUUUUGCUGUCACUUAUAGAUGGAUCCGCGCCGCAUUAGCUAGUUGGUAAGGUAACGGCUUACCAAGGCAACGAUGCGUAGCCGACCUGAGAGGGUGAUCGGCCACACUGGAACUGAGCAACGGUCCAGACUCCUACGGGAGGCAGCAGUAGGGAAUCUUCCGCAAUGGGCGAAAGCCUGACGGAGCAACGCCGCGUGAGUGAUGAAGGUCUUCGGAUCGUAAAACUCUGUUAUUAGGGAAGAACAAAUGUGUAAGUAACUAUGCACGUCUUGACGGUACCUAAUCAGAAAGCCACGGCUAACUACGUG